GAUCGAUGGUUUUCCAUUGAUUAUUCUCGGCAUCCAUGGCCAUCUGACUGUAUUUCGUAGUGUAGAAAAAAAAAACGAGCCACCCUCCUCGUUCGUGUCCAUUCGGCUAUCUUGUGUUACAUGUUUUACAUACAACCGACUUCGGUUCGGUCACGCACAUCAAAUUCACUGCCCGCGAGCCGCUGAAAAACGAAAGGGGUGCAGAGUUUCAGCUGGUAUUACAAGACAAUGGAGCGGAGGGCCUAGGUCAACGUUGCGCAUUUCUUUGAGGCUACACGCGACUAUACGUUGAUUCUCCGAUCCAACGCGAGCUAAUCCAACGACGAGGCUCUUUUCGUCAAAUGCUAAAAAAAAUGAUGAUAAUGUAAAAAAUAAAAAAUAUUUGACCGUACCAAAACUCGUGAUUGAAAUUGUGCGCAAUAAAUUUCUCUUCGCUUAA